rnacentral:tRNA from 1 species
GGUGUAAAUAGUUUAAAUUAAAAAUUAUGGUUUGUGGGGCCAGAGAUGUAAAAGGUUUACUUUAUGCCC